CCCUCCCUCCCAGACCCUCCCAACUCCUGGACAGCAUUCAUUCUUAGUGAGCUGUCCAGGAGGUGGGAGGGUCUGGGAGGGAGGG